ensembl:lncRNA
CCGGGACAGAAGCCUGCUCUCGAGAAACCAGGCAACAAGACCCAAACACAGGCCGCGGUCCGGCCCGGCCGGGCCCCACCGCGGCUCAAUCCCACUCCUCCAGGGCGGAGGGAUCCGGGACCUGGUCGUACGGGGAGCCCAGUCCGUCUCGCGCCCGAGAGCACAGUCGCUGGCACGCACCCAAAGGGUUGUCAUCACGGCCAAGCGGCCCCGGCAGAGCCUGGGCCAACACCGCCACCGUGCCCCACUUCAGGCCUUGACUCGGAGGUCAAAUGUCCUGACUUCGGAGGGCACCAGGAGCCCUCCCGUUACCCCGAGGAGACGCGGUCCCUUCAGAUCCCACGGCCCCUCCCCUGGGAUGGGUACGCACCCCAGGAUCCCGCGCAGAGACUCGAGGAAGACUAGGUGGCCGGGGUCGCGGGGCUCUGUGUAUAGCCCCCUCACCCAGGGUCACAGGCACCGAGAGACUCAGCAGUCUGUCAACUCUGGAGCCCUCCCGCAACCGCACGCGGUAUUUAAAGGGCCCAGAGGUUUCUAUCGUGAAGGCUGAAGAAGGCUCGCACUGAAAGCCAUUUGGACACGAGAAGAUAGAUAGGCUCCCCCAUGCUCAGUAGUGUUUACCAGAUGGGGUCAAACGAACUAACUCCAACUCAGCGGACAAACUGCUGGUAGUCGGCUCGCGGCAAUAAUAUAAAAGUACUAGAUGCCCACCUUCACACUGGCCACACACACGGGGCCAAGCGAGCCAUCAACGUUUCAAACCCGCUGUCCCACGCACAUCGGCGGCUAACCGCGUCAUCCACACGUGUCAACAUUUUCUUGUAAACACGGUCCUGAUUUGCCCCUUGAAUUGGAUGAUUGGCUUCUGGGAGCCACACCUACUGAAGCUCUCUGAGGGCUUCGCCUGGGUGCAAAGAUAAAGAGUUUUGCUUCUUCUAAGGGUUCAUUGGCAGCGCUUAUCUUGGGGAGAAGUUUCAACCAGAGUUAAUGUAAAUAAGUGCUGGGAGGGGCUCUUGUGUGGUCAGGCUUACUAAGCAUAACUUCUUGUGAGCUUGCUUCUGGGCAUAAAGAGACAGAACC